UCUCGCUCUAUCUAAACAUCGUUAGCCGCCAUUGUAUAAAUAUCGAAUUGAGUGAUGAGUCGCUUGUCGCGCCUAAUUUUAUAUAAUUUGUGUUUUUGUCAUUUUUAGUGUACCAGCAUGUUAAUUAAAUGGUUUGAUGCUUUUAUCGAUACCUAAUAUUUAGAAAAACGAUCCGAGCAUAAAUACAUUGCAGAUUUCGUACCAAUGUUGGAAAGGUAACCUCUUCGAACAGGGCAGCAAAAAAACGAAGGGACAUCAUGAGUAAGAGACGAAGGGCAGGUUCUUUGCCCAAAUACACAGAAGAGGACUCCUUGGAUAGCCUUGAAGCAUCUACCAGUAGUGGACCUACAGCACAAAAAA
rnacentral:lncRNA from 1 species